UAAGGAAUAUUGGACAAUGCCCGCAAGGGUGAUCCAGCCAUUCCGCGUGCAGGAAGACUGCCCUAUGGGUUGUAAACUGCUUUUAUUAGGGAAGAAACCCCUUGACGAGAUUGAGGGUUGACGGUACCUGAUGAAUAAGCACCGGCUAACUCCGUGCCAGCAGCCGCGGUAAUACGGAGGGUGCAAGCGUUAUCCGGAAUCACUGGGUUUAAAGGGUGCGUAGGCGGUUUGAUAAGUCAGAGGUGAAAGGCUACGGCUUAACUGUGGGAUUGCCUUUGAUACUGUUGGACUGGAAUUGAGUUGAAGUUAGUGGAAUGCGGCAUGUAGCGGUGAAAUGCAUAGAUAUGUCGUAGAACACCGAUUGCGAAGGCAGCUAACUGGGCUUAAAUUGACGCUGAGGCACGAAAGCGUGGGGAUCGAACAGG
rnacentral:rRNA from 1 species